UUACGAAUAAGUAUGUGAUCAUCAAGUAAAGAUUGAUUGCAUCUGGAUAAGUGAGUUUUCCUUUGAACUUUCCGUAGUGAACAUGUAUCGGAUGCACUCGGUCAAUCGGUAGAUUUGAUAUCUUUGAACCGUCGAGCUUUAAUGUACACCUAGACAACACAUGUCACACAACCAACCUUUUACCGUUUAUGGUUCUUACGGUUUUGUUCUUUUCAGCCAUGAACACGUCCCGAUUUUCAUGAGAGCUUAGAGAAUAUGCCUUUACUAACAUUCUCGUUGAAGCGGCUUCCACUUCUCCCACACAUAGGUGAUUUCUAAACGUCCAAUCCUGUAGAUUAAACUAUUUGGUCAAAUCUGCCAAAUUUAGAUAAUCAUUAAAAGACUUUUUACCUUAAGUCUUAUUCUUGUUUACUAUACAUUGUCUACAUCAUGAGAAUGGGUUGGGUAAUUGACAAUGUUGAACUUGUCAGACACAACUUUGUUUGAUCUCCUUGAGCCUAGCUCUUGGG
rnacentral:lncRNA from 1 species